AUGCAUCUUACACAUAUGAUAAAAAUUCUAUGAAUCACGCCCUCCAUAUUAUCUUCGCCUUAGCUGAUAUGAACAUAUUGCAUCUACAAAGUCAGCUUUUCCAAAAUCAGGGCAGAAUGGUUGUGCAAAGACAAAUUCGGUAUAGGCUAGCUGCCAUAGCAAGAAGUUGCUGACCCUUUGCUCGCCACUAGUACGGAUAAGUAGAUCAGGAUAGGGAAAAUUGGUGCAGUUUGUUUCUAAUUCUUGUUCGAUUAUAGCUUCACUAAUGUCAUUUGGUUGGAUGAGACCAUUGUUUACUUUGUCAACAAUGCUUCUACAUGCUUGAACUAUGUCGUAGUGCCCACUAUAGCUGAUUGCAAUAAUCAGUUGUAAUCAUGAGUUGUUCCUUGUGGUCUCCUCAGUUUCAAUUAUCAGUUUUUUGCAGU